rnacentral:rRNA from 1 species
CAGGCUUAACACAUGCAAGUCGAGGGGCAGCAUGGUCUUAGCUUGCUAAGGCCGAUGGCGACCGGCGCACGGGUGAGUAACACGUAUCCAACCUGCCGUCUACUCUUGGACAGCCUUCUGAAAGGAAGAUUAAUACAAGAUGGCAUCAUGAGUCCGCAUGUUCACAUGAUUAAAGGUAUUCCGGUAGACGAUGGGGAUGCGUUCCAUUAGAUAGUAGGCGGGGUAACGGCCCACCUAGUCUUCGAUGGAUAGGGGUUCUGAGAGGAAGGUCCCCCACAUUGGAACUGAGACACGGUCCAAACUCCUACGGGAGGCAGCAGUGAGGAAUAUUGGUCAAUGGGCGAGAGCCUGAACCAGCCAAGUAGCGUGAAGGAUGACUGCCCUAUGGGUUGUAAACUUCUUUUAUAAAGGAAUAAAGUCGGGUAUGGAUACCCGUUUGCAUGUACUUUAUGAAUAAGGAUCGGCUAACUCCGUGCCAGCAGCCGCGGUAAUACGGAGGAUCCGAGCGUUAUCCGGAUUUAUUGGGUUUAAAGGGAGCGUAGAUGGAUGUUUAAGUCAGUUGUGAAAGUUUGCGGCUCAACCGUAAAAUUGCAGUUGAUACUGGAUAUCUUGAGUGCAGUUGAGGCAGGCGGAAUUCGUGGUGUAGCGGUGAAAUGCUUAGAUAUCACGAAGAACUCCGAUUGCGAAGGCAGCCUGCUAAGCUGCAACUGACAUUGAGGCUCGAAAGUGUGGGUAUCAAACAGGAUUAGAUACCCUGGUAGUCCACACGGUAAACGAUGAAUACUCGCUGUUUGCGAUAUACUGCAAGCGGCCAAGCGAAAGCGUUAAGUAUUCCACCUGGGGAGUACGCCGGCAACGAUGAAACUCAAAGGAAUUGACGGGGGCCCGCACAAGCGGAGGAACAUGUGGUUUAAUUCGAUGAUACGCGAGGAACCUUACCCGGGCUUAAAUUGCAGAUGAAUUACGGUGAAAGCCGUAAGCCGCAAGGCAUCUGUGAAGGUGCUGCAUGGUUGUCGUCAGCUCGUGCCGUGAGGUGUCGGCUUAAGUGCCAUAACGAGCGCAACCCUUGUUGUCAGUUACUAACAGGUUCCGCUGAGGACUCUGACAAGACUGCCAUCGUAAGAUGUGAGGAAGGUGGGGAUGACGUCAAAUCAGCACGGCCCUUACGUCCGGGGCUACACACGUGUUACAAUGGGGGGUACAGAGGGCCGCUACCACGCGAGUGGAUGCCAAUCCCCAAAACCUCUCUCAGUUCGGACUGGAGUCUGCAACCCGACUCCACGAAGCUGGAUUCGCUAGUAAUCGCGCAUCAGCCACGGCGCGGUGAAUACGUUCCCGGGCCUUGUACACACCGCCCGUCAAGCCAUGGGAGCCGGGGGUACCUGAAGUGCGUAACCGCGAGGAGCGCCCUAGGGUAAAACUGGUGACUGGGGC